GUCCCUGUAGCGCACUGAUAGCGUUUUUGGAAUUCCAUUCAAAGUCGUGGUUUCGAAUCCUACCUGGGAUG